rnacentral:lncRNA from 1 species
GCUACUCCUGUUAACGAACUGGGGAAAAGUCUCAUUUUAUGGUAAUCGGUUACAUCACCACUUUGCAACGUGAAUCGCCCUAUGUGUUCCAGAGUAGACACCUCUCCUAAACCAGUAAACAGUAAGAAUUCUGGCACUUUGUACCCUCUAGGCCAUGGAUAUGCUUGGUCUACCCAAUCAGGAUAUGGCUUUGUGUAAGUCGGUCUAAUGACAGAACGCACCCCAAAGGCCAUCUGAUCCUGCACGAUUUCCAUAAUCUGAUUUCUCAACAUGACAUUGAGAUCAUAUAGAAUUCCUACAGGCUGAUUAACCGGUUGAUUUGCAUGAGGUCGGAUGUUUGGUCCUUGAUUGGCAACAAAAUUACCAUAAUUAGGGUCAUUACCAUUAGCCUGGACAUCUACCCCCUCGUUACC